rnacentral:ncRNA from 1 species
ACCUCUAACUAUAACGUACCUUGAGCGUAUACGCUGUAACCCGAAAGACGGUGGACUAUACUUGAUCAGGUUGAAGUCAGAGGAAACACUGAUGGAAGAUCGAAACAAUUGAGUAUAGGAGCGAGAGACCAAUCGAACGAUCUAGUAGCUGGUUCCCUCCGAAUUUGGUGCAUUUAAAAUUUAUGCAAAAUAAUCUUAUCUGGUAAAGCGAAUGAUUAGAGGCCUUAGGGUAGGGAAACGAUUUUAACCUAUUCUCAAACUUUAAAUGGGUAAGAACCUCACCUUUCUUGGUAUGAAGGUUGUGGUUCUGAUAUAAUAAAGCGCCCAGUGGGCCACUUUUGGUAAGCAGAACUGGCGCUGUGGGAUGAACCAAACGUAAUGUUAGGGGGCCCAAAUUAACAACUCAUGCAGAUAUCAUGAAAGGCGUGGGUUGCUUAAAUUAUCAAACCGGCGGACACGGAAGUCGCAAUUCGCUAAGGAGUGUGUAACCACUCAACUGCUGUAGCAACUAGCCCUUAAAAUGGAUGGCGCUUAAGCUGUGUACCUAUACAUUACCGCUAAAGUAAAUGGUUGAAAUUCAAUUUAUUUGGAUUUGUAAACUUUAAAACUUUAGUGAGUAGGAGGGUGCAAUGGUGAGCGUAGAAGUAUUUGGCAUAAGACUGCAGGGAGCCGCCAUUGGUACAGAUCUUGGUGGUAGUAGCAAAUAAUCGAAUGAGAUCUUGUUAGUUAGCUGGUAAGCU